CCGUAACUAGAGCUAGAGUUUUUUAAUUUCAUAGAAACAUACCUUAAUUCGGCUACAACAUCUGCGUAUUUACAACAUGUUUUAAAACCCGGAAAACCACACAUCGUUUGAAAUCCUUUGCGAUUUUAUUUUUACUCCUACACGCAAUUGUUGUGCCAAGGAGUGUUAACGAGAUGUUGUGAAUUAGCCUUUCUCAUGAUGAUGAAUAAUAUCCGCCAUUUUUGGGUGGCAUCAAAUUCCCGUUAAAAUUAACCAAUGCAGACAAUUAAAACAAUUUGAAAAGCAAUUUUUCAAAAUAAACUAACCAUUUACAAA